rnacentral:rRNA from 1 species
AUGAAUGUGCAGCCCCUCAACGUUAUCGUGUGGAACGUCCGUGGGCUAAAUGCUAGGGCUAGGAGGAAUGCUCUAUUCCAGGUGGUGACAGCGGCCAAUCCGGCGAUUGCCUGUCUGCAAGAAACCAAACUGCAAGAUGUAUCGGUGAAUGUUGUGCGUCAAUGUCUAGGAAACAAAUAUGAGAAGUUCUUUCACUUUCCAGUGAUAGGCACUCAUGGUGGGAUCAUGGUGGCGUGCACUACUGCAGGAUACUGCUAA